rnacentral:tRNA from 1 species
UGGUGGUAUAAUGGUGAGCAUAGCUGCCUUCCAAGCAACUGACCUGGGUUUAAUUCCCAGCCA